rnacentral:lncRNA from 1 species
UGUGAUUCUUGAUGAUCUCAACUAAAAGAUUGUCUCCAGCCACUUCUCGCAUCCUCAUCAACAAUCCAUUAUUUCCUUCAAUAAACCAUCAAAACAAAACAGAGCUUUUCUUUAAUCACCUAAUCAGUCCUUAGUUGCAAUAUAUAACCAUCCAUUGUGCAAUUCUUUCACUAUCUUCUUCAUUCUCAGUUCCUCCUGCAUCAUCAUCAAAAUACAAGCUUUGUUAUUAUGAAACUGUUUUGGUUGUCAGAGAAAAGGUUUUGUCUUUGAAAACUGUUUUGAGGUGGUUCUUUGAAAGCUUGCAUAAUGACUACAUAAACAGCAUAUACAACUCAAUAACCCAAAGCAUUGACUGAAUUGAAAAUGAGAGGUAAGAAACCACAUCACGGAAUUUCACAACAUACAAAUCCAGCAGGAGGAAAUAGUUUGAAAAUUUCAUCACAUCAACUCAUCUUACAGGAGAACAGACUCAAAAUUCACCCUAUCCGCUGUUAAGACCAAAGAUUCCACAAUUUUGUUCCAUUGCAGUAAUCGAUGGAACAAUAGCAAGAACUUACCGAAAUUUUCGAUGUCGUCGAAAGAGAGAGAGAUGUGUUCUUCCCAAUCAAUAGAAUUUUUGCAGAAUCACAGUGAGAGAAUCACAAAUUGAAGUAUAACACAUAAGAGAUUCGUGUAUAAAGCUUCAUACUUGGAAUUGCAGACAGAGAUUAAGGCACACCCUUCACCCAACUGAGAUUUCGCAAUCGGAGAAAUCAGAAAGAGAGAGAGACACGC